rnacentral:lncRNA from 1 species
UUGGACCCAAAAACCCUUAUUUUUGUUUUUUGAGCAAAUUAAAACUAAAGGGCACAAAUGUAAUUUUAAUUUAACAUUUAAUUUUUCUUUUUUCUUCUUCCCGUGAAAUCCAAAGGUCCCUCAUUCUCUUUCUUUCUUCUCUUCUUUGUCCUCCUUCCAUGUCGUCUGCAACACAUGAUUGUCAAUUCCAAUUCAAUUGAAUCCAAAUCCAAUACAAUCCAUACAAACCAGAGAAAACUUUCCAAUGUCAACAUAAAUGAAA